rnacentral:rRNA from 1 species
AUUGAACGCUGGCGGCAGGCCUAACACAUGCAAGUCGAACGGUAACAGGAAGCAGCUUGCUGCUUCGCUGACGAGUGGCGGACGGGUGAGUAAUGUCUGGGAAACUGCCUGAUGGAGGGGGAUAACUACUGGAAACGGUAGCUAAUACCGCAUAACGUCGCAAGACCAAAGAGGGGGACCUUCGGGCCUCUUGCCAUCGGAUGUGCCCAGAUGGGAUUAGCUAGUAGGUGGGGUAACGGCUCACCUAGGCGACGAUCCCUAGCUGGUCUGAGAGGAUGACCAGCCACACUGGAACUGAGACACGGUCCAGACUCCUACGGGAGGCAGCAGUGGGGAAUAUUGCACAAUGGGCGCAAGCCUGAUGCAGCCAUGCCGCGUGUAUGAAGAAGGCCUUCGGGUUGUAAAGUACUUUCAGCGGGGAGGAAGGUGUUGAGGUUAAUAACCUCAGCAAUUGACGUUACCCGCAGAAGAAGCACCGGCUAACUCCGUGCCAGCCGCCGCCGUAACAC